GGGUAUGAAAAAGAGAGAACUACUUCAUGGAAUUUUACCAAACAUUGGUUCAAAUCUACAACUUCAAAGACUAUUCACAGAAUACCAGGAACAAUUGGAAACAAUUGAAAAAUGACAAUGUACCGGUAGUGAUUUGGGAAUCAUGGAUCAAAUUUAACCUUAUUUGACAAGGUGAAAACAAAUACUGAAAAAUGACAUGCCAAUCAGACAGCUGUUGAACAGAAACCAUUGUCAUGGUAAUCAUAGUUUCACGAAAUUGGAGGAUGGGUGAUUCAGUGUUGUUAUAGUGCUAUUUUGUGUCAUUAUAGAAUGACAAAAAUAAAACAUUCAGAAGUGCUAGACUUUCAAAAUAAAAACCAUUUAAGUUAGUGUUUGAAUUUAUAUAAAGUGUUUGAAAUGAUAUUAAU
rnacentral:lncRNA from 1 species